rnacentral:rRNA from 1 species
GAUAAACGCUGGCGGCGUGCUUAACACAUGCAAGUCGAACGAAGUUUUUCUUUCGGGAGAGACUUAGUGGCGGACGGGUGAGUAACGCGUGGGUAACCUGCCCUGUACAGGGGGACAACAGCUGGAAACGGCUGCUAAUACCGCAUAAGCCCUUAGCACUGCAUGGUGCAUAUGGAAAAGGAGCAAUCCGGUACAGGAUGGACCCGCGUCUGAUUAGCCAGUUGGCAGGGUAACGGCCUACCAAAGCGACGAUCAGUAGCCGAUCUGAGAGGAUGUACGGCCACAUUGGGACUGAGACACGGCCCAGACUCCUACGGGAGGCAGCAGUGGGGAAUAUUGCACAAUGGAGGAAACUCUGAUGCAGCGACGCCGCGUGAGUGAAGAAGUAUUUCGGUAUGUAAAGCUCUAUCAGCAGGGAAGAA